AGAAGUAAAAUAUUAAAAUUUGAAGCUAUAGAUUCUAACAAUCCUUUAGAAAAAGAGUCAACCAAAUCAGUUGAUUUGUAUCGAUUCACCUGAUUAAGAUUCGGUCACGAUUCAGAUAUAUUUGCGAUUCACCCCACAUAUUCAAAUUGUUGGGAUGGAGAAUUGAAUUGUACAAAUCGAAUCGAGAAUCAUAAGAUUCUAACAACAAUGGUGGGAACAUUAUUCAAUUACCCACAAUGUAAAAUAUUUUUAGUAUUUCAUAUGUAAUAAAAUAUACGCAAAAUAU
rnacentral:misc_RNA from 1 species